AUUUCAAAGGUUACCAUGGCUACAAUUCUGUUGGACCUGUCAGUCUCAACUGUCAAAAUGCUAGCUCGUUUCUUUUAGGGAGAUAUCGACAAAUACUCACACUAGUUGAUGUAUUUUCGCUUCUUGAGGAUGUUUAGGAAAACCACCUGCAGGAACACAGCAAGUGAUGCAGUGAGUUUCCACCAAGACCAGGCCCUCAACACGACUAUAUUCCUCCUCAGAUCCUUUGGUCCAACAGGAUUCCUGCUCAAAGAGGAGGGAGAGGUCAGAAGCUUUAAGGUGUUCUUGGGUGACCCACAUACCUGCACAUGUCCUGGGUUCAUCAAGGAGCAGGAGCCAUGCAAACACAUCUGCUGGGUUUUACUGCGGAAAUUCAGACUCCCCAGAGAACAUGAAUAUUCAUUUCAGCCUGGACUUGUGGAGAGACAGAUCUUGGAGGUGCUCCAGGGUUUACACCAAACCAAAGCCCACCGGAUGCAAAAUGAUCCAUGUACUGCUUCUGGGACAUCGAGCCAAACCUUCACGGGUCCGGAGGCUGGAAGUGUGUGCCGGAAAGUGAUCCAAGCCCAGGAUGUGUGUCCUAUCUGUCAAGAGGAGCUGCUGGAGAAAAAACAGCCCGUGUCUUACUGCAGGUUUGGUUGUGGCAACAACGUCCACAUUUCCUGCAUGAAGGUGUGGGCGGAUCACCAGAGACUCUCGGAUAAAGAGGAAACAGUGAAGUGCCCCCUGUGCAGGGAGGAUUUCAGCUCUUUGAAGAUGCUCCAGGAGCAGGUGAAAAACGCAGCAAAGCUCUGUACUGCAGCUGAAAGAGAAAAGCCAGAGAGACACCUGGGAGUUCUCUGUCACAGCUGCAGGGUCAGCCCGGUCUUUGGAAAGUGUUACAAAUGCACAGUCUGCAGUUACUUCUACCUGUGUCAGGACUGUUUAAAGAAGGGCUGCCACCAACAGCAUCCAUUCGCCUCUCGGACGAACAGAAAAGAAAAGUGGAACCUUGAGGAGGAGAAACUGAGUGAUCAACUAACAGACGCACAACCUCAGGCCAUGAAUAACAGCGCCAUCUCUGUAGCUGCAGACCCUCUUCCAGAAAAUGUCCUGGCCUGUCUUCCUUCAGUCAGGGUGAGACCUGGGUGUCGGCUUUUAGAUGUGGGACUCCAGUGUCGGAUCUGUCUGCAGGAUUUUAACCUGGGCGAGUGUGUUAGAAGUCUGCCCUGCCAUCACAAGAUUUUCCUGAUGGACAAAGAUGGAACAAAGACUGAAAAAUCAUUGGUAUCAAGGGAAAAAAGAACAGUAAGACUCAUCCUCCAGGCCUCCAGCAAACCGACUUAGAGCAUUUUAGUCUGGAUCAAAAUGGUGCAAAGUUUUCCUCAACAAUCACUAUCUUCAAUCAGAACCACUUUGUGGAUGAUAUCUUCAGCACCCAUUAACUAUCAAUUAAAAAUGUUUAAAAUCCUCUCUCUCUCUCUUCGGUUAAUACGCAGUCAACAAAAGUAUCAAAACGUUUGGCAACACAGAUUUUAAUUAAAACUCCAAGGCACCAAAUUACAGUCGCAAAGAAAAUAACUACAAGGUUUAAUAGCAUGUGUGCUAUACAAAAAGAAAGCAGCAAUAAUAAAGAGAAAUCAUGUCUGACUUAAGGGCCUUUUUUCUACGUUAACCUCAGAGCUCAGAGUCAUAACUUUACUAAAACCAUCCCAACAGAUCGACAACAUUUACUCAGUCUCCUAAAAGAAGCUGCUUGUUCCAUGUUCGGCUUCAAAAAGGGAAUCUGAACAUCUGCAGUCACACUUCAAAUAAAUAUUUGAACAUAGCCUCGGGUAUUUGUGUGAUUUGUACAUUGAGAUAUCCAUAAACACAUCGUAGAAGUCCUGUUUUGUGUUCCUGACAGAAGUUAAAGUUGGCAGCACGACAGAGUCUCUGUUCAAGUCUCGACUAUGAAACGAAUCAUUCAGUCCUCAAGUUAUCAAACAGCUACAACGUCCAACAUUAGCUUUACAGCAAAAUAUUUUCAUACACUCAAAAGAAACAUUCGUUUUCAUGCAUUCUAAAAUAUUGUUGGCUAAAAACCUUAAACAUCAGGUAAUCACUUUCAAAUGGCAGCUCAGGUUUAUACAUCAGUGUUCGACUCCCAGCUACAGGAGUACUUUGUGUCAUCAUUCAAAAGUUGAAAUUUUGUGAGUAAGCUGCUUCCAAUCAUGAACCCCAGAGUUUCUUUUUCAUAAAACGAGGCAGUACGAUCUAAACCAGAUGUCGGGUACGCUUCUGUUUCUCAUUUAAUUUACAGCAGGCAUUUUUGGUGAGGUUAAGUGCACUACACAUACACCUAUAUCUGUGUCCACCCUGCUGUCUCAACACAUUUUGAGGAUCCACAAAUACUGCGCCCUUUUUGCAAUCAGUGAACACUUACAGGCAGAAAGAAGGCACCCUCUUCAAUGCCAGUACUGGGGAUUGUGGGAUAUCGUGUUCACGUGGACAUUUUGCUGUGAAGAAUCUCGCUGGUGAUCUUCAGAUUCAGUAGGAUGAGCAAACACGGUGCACAAACUUGUCUAACAGCAGCUACAUGAAGCUUAGACUUGACGUAGAUCCUGCGUUGUUUUUUGAGAUAGCUUAGCUUUCUUUGGCAAAGUUGUACAAUCACAUAAAUUAACAACAACGAUGCCUGUGUGAGCACAAGUGGUAGAGACUUCUUUAAAUCAGUCGGCACUGAUGACACAAUGUGAUGGAGAUCGCUUAUUUAACCACAUUUAAACGGUGGCCAUUCCCCUCUGUCAUCAGGUCGAGGUGGUGAAGCUGCGUCGCUCUGCUUCUGAUCUAAAUGUAGGUUAUCUGACAAACAGCCGUAUAACAGGAUAUCUGCUCUCCUCUGACUGAUCAGAGGACAAUGGCUGCCAGAUGAAUGUGGUCAGUGUAGGUUCAACAGGUAAUGGGACAUUAGAUUAAGCACUAAAGAACUUUUGUUAUGCCCUAACUUCGCUUGGUCAGAGGUCGCCCCUCACGGACAUGCUUGGCGCUCCUCUUUUCCGUCUUCCCCUUCUCCCUCACCUUCCUGAGGCGCCGUGGAGGCGGCGUACCCCUGGACUCGCUGUCCUCCUGAGCGCUGGAUGUAUCCAUCCCAUCUCGCUCUUCAGGAAUGUUAGGAAUAGCUCCGCUGCUCCCGUCCAAAAUGUUCCUCAGGGAAGGGUCCUCUGGUGUGCAGGUUGCUGUAGUGCCACUCUCACUACUGCUCAGGUCCUGCUCCUCAACGUAGCGUCCCCCUCGGCUGUGAUGUGACAAGGACGAGGCUCUGAUUGAAGGUCUGUCUCGCUCCGUCUCACGGAUGCUCUGCUGAGGCUCGUUCAUGUCCACGCCCGAGUCCAGGCUGGUGUCGUUGCUGCUUGGUGGGCGGUGGCGACCCUGGAGCUCGAUGAUGGAGUGGCGAACUUGUGCAGCAGGCUUUCCUUCCAAGGAGACAAACCAGGCUCUCGGGUGAGCCGACAAGGGCUUUCCCCGGGUCAGCUCCAGCAAGGUACGCUCUGAUAUCCCCUGCAGCUCACUGGGUACACCAUGCCCACUGUUGAAGCCCUCCAUUCCAGCUGCCUCAUUUAGAGUCCCAGGCACAGAGACGGAGGAUUCCAGGAGGUUAUUGUACCGUCCCCACACGCUGGGGUUCGGGCCUUGGCCUUGGGGAGGAGUUUCCAGGGGUUGGGGUUCAUCUUGGCUGCUCUGCUGGGGGCUGCCUCCACCUUGGGAGUGGUGGUGAGGGACUUUGGGCAGCGUCUGGGUGUAGCUGUCUUUACUCGCUGGCUCCGUGUCGUACUCCACUCCGUUGCGGGGGAAAGUAGCCGACUUGCAGCCAGACAGUUGCUGCUCCUGAUUGUUGAGAAGCUCUGGAGCCUGAAUGAUAGCCACUGGCUGAUUGUAGAGAUGGACCAGCUUGUCUUGAAAGAAGUUGUCAGUGUUCAUGUUGCGAUUCUGCUCUGAUUUCUCUCUCAUCCGAGCCACCUCAUCAUUGUUGAUGUAGUGAGACGACUGUUGGGAACCUUUGAGCCGAUCCAGGGCGAUGUUCUCAUAAAAAGGAGCUGCUGGACGACUCCCCGGAUCCUCCACGUAGAUGUUGUAGUUGGCCUUGUGUCUUGGUGUGGAUAAGGGCUCACACUGGACGCUGCAGGAGGCAAGGCUGUUUUCACCGGAGCGGAACAGCAAACCCUCCUCCAUGUGGGUGGAGGUGGUUUGGUCUUUUUUCACCACGGUGAGUUUGGAGAACCGUGCUCUCCUCCUCCUCCUUGGCUCCCGGUGAGAACUACUGCACAUGGGAGAAACAGAAUUUAAUGAAGAUUGCAUCAUCGGGUCGAAAAGUGACACAGCAGCAAGGACAGAAAUCCAAUGACGACAGCCAGCGUUCCUCCCAGAACUCCC